rfam:Roseburia sp. CAG:197 genomic scaffold, scf252
UAAUAGCAAAGCAUAUUGCCGAAGACAGCAGGUUCCGCAAGGAGUAAACGAAGUGCCUGCCGAGGGAAUUUUGAUGAAUAGAUCGUCAUUAAGAUUAUUACCCUCUGUCGUCUGGCAGAGGGAUUUUUAUUAUACCUC